GGACUACUAGGGUUUCUAAUCCUGUUCGCUCCCCACGCUUUCGUGCCUCAGCGUCAGUUACAGCCUAGUUAGCUGCCUACGCAAUCGGUGUUCUUGAUUGUAUCUAUGCAUUUCACCGCUACACAAUCAAUUCCGCCAACCUCGUCUGUACUCAAGCCCGUCAGUAUCAAUGGCAGUUCUCCAGUUGAGCUGGAGGCUUUCACCACUGACUUAACGGGCCGCCUACGCACCCUUUAAACCCAAUAAAUCCGGACAACGCUUGCACCCUCCGUAUUACCGCGGCGGCUGGCAC
rnacentral:rRNA from 2 species